CCUACGGGCGGCAGCAGUGAGGAAUAUUGGUCAAUGGACGAGAGUCUGAACCAGCCAAGUAGCGUGAAGGAUGACUGCCCUAUGGGUUGUAAACUUCUUUUAUAUGGGAAUAAAAUGUUCCACGUGUGGGAUUUUGUAUGUACCAUAUGAAUAAGGAUCGGCUAACUCCGUGCCAGCAGCCGCGGUAGUACGGAGGAGCCGAGCGUUAUCCGGAUUUAUUGGGUGUAAAGGGAGCGUAGGUGGAUUGUUAAGUCAGUUGUGAAAGUUUGCGGCUCAACCGUAAAAUUGCAGUUGAAACUGGCAGUCUUGAGUACAGUAGAGGUGGGCGGAAUUCGUGGUGUAGCGGUGAAAUGCUUAGAUAUCACGAAGAACUCCGAUUGCGAAGGCAGUUCACUGGACUGCAACUGACACUGAGGCUCGAAAGUGUGGGUAUCAAACAGGAUUAGAUACCCUUGUAGUC
rnacentral:rRNA from 1 species